UGGGAACAAAACACCCAAGCAUGUGUAC
rnacentral:piRNA from 1 species